UACGUAGGGGGCUAGCGGUGUCCGGAAUCAUUGGGCGUAAAGAGCGUGUAGGCGGUCCGGUAAGUCCGCUGUGAAAGUCGGGGGCUCAACCCUCGAAUGCCGGUGGAUACUGUCGGGCUUGAGUACGGAAGAGGCGAGUGGAAUUCCUGGUGUAGCGGUGAAAUGCGCAGAUAUCAGGAAGAACACCCGUGGCGAAGGCGGCUCUCUGGGACGGUACUGACGCUGAGACGCGAAAGCGUGGGGAGCGAACAGG
rnacentral:rRNA from 1 species